rnacentral:piRNA from 1 species
UGAAGCUAAAAUCACAGCAUGUGUUAACUAA